rnacentral:lncRNA from 1 species
CUAUGAUAAUUAUUAACACAGAUUCUAACAAGUAUCUUGUCUUAAUGUUAUUAAAGUUAACAGUCAACUCGUUAGAAGGACAUGAACAUGUCUUAAGUUAUGGAGCCAUGGUGCAAAAAAAAACCUGGACCUUUUUGCAAAAAUAAUUGCCAAGAUGAAAAAAAGCAUGUUACCACUUCAGUGACACAUUUCUUAUACAAAAACAUGCACAGGCACCACAUACUGAUCAUUUCUGUCAAAACCAUACGUUGUCUGCAGAUCAAAUGGCUUAAACAGGAGCAACUCAUCAACUUUCAGCAUGGAUACAUUUUCAGGAUUUCCCUGUCUGACAUGAAAAGAAUGAAAAUGCUCUACAAAACUAAGUGUCUCAAAAUCUUCUGCUACAAGAAAAUAGUCUCCAUUAAAUGCAAUAAUGUCUUUUAUCUGACUUAAUACUGGGAAAUCCUCCUCUAUGUUUGAACAAACCAGAAGGCCUGGGCGAUACUCUGUCCCAAAACAAGUGAUCCAAGAUGUCACAUCAACUUCACAGUCCAAGUCAACCUGCUGUUCUUCAGCAAUUAUUUCACCAUUUGCCAAGGCAUUAAGCUGAACAGUUUUUACUGGACCACAGUUAAUACUUUUAAAUGGCCUUGAUUCCCAGUGGUAUGCCACAGCCAUCUGAUGUUUUUUAGCUAAUGACUGAAAUUUUUGAUUGUGUUCUUGAAAAACCUGUGUUUGGCUUCGAACCUCAUUGCCCAAACAUGAAGAAUUGUACCUAUUUUUCAAAAGGAUCUGGGGCAAUGAAUCAUGAAGUGAUGUUAAGGAAUCAAUUUGUGAUGUGAAUAAAGCUCUUUGAAAAGUUUAUGAUGGUCAAGAAUGAGAUGCUUCAGACAUACUGUCAUACCAUCAGUAAUGACGGGAGAAAAUAUGAUGUUCAUGAUUUGCAGCAGAAGCAGCAAGAGUCUCCAAUGUGCAUUUCCUUCUUGUACAGGCAACCAAAAAGCAACUUUAGCUCAAACUGCCCAACUCCUUCCAAUAUGUCAUGCAUAAUGUCUAGAGCAUAGUUAUCAGAAACAUCAAAGUACUGUAGUGAGUAAACAUGUUCGCUUCACUCCAAAUGUUGAUGGCAGUGUAGGAUCUGCUUUUAAGUCAUUGCAAUGCUGAGCAUGCAGUACUUUAUUGCGGAGUGUUAUUCUUGGAUCAUCAUCACUGAAAACUGUCUGUAAGGUUUGUUUGUCUACCAGACAAAAGCGGCAAAAAUAGUUUGAACUGAAUGAUUAUACAUACCCAAGUAGUGAGUGCAAUCCCCAGUCCCCAGUCACCUGUGCAAUUGUUCCACAAACUGCUUCCUCAGAGAAAGGAACUUCAACUCCUGUACACUCAAGCACUUUCAGAUCUUGUACGAGGGGUUCGUAAGAUAACAUUAAAUCCAUACUUCUUUACAUCCUCUGUAUGAAAAAGUGCCAAAAGAUGAAUGUUCGUAAGCGCUGAGUUUAUCUUUGGAGACAGAUUUCGUAAAAUAAAGUAUAUACUUCCAAUCUUAUGGAUACCAUGUUUGGAUCCUAGUGGAUUUGCAACUUCAAAAUCAUCAUAGAAUAUCUGUAUUUGGAGAGAGUUUGGUUUUUUAGAGAAGAGAGAGUGACCUUUAAAAUAGCUUCCAUCACAGAAAUCUUUAUAAAACCCAGUCUUCUCACAAGGCUGCAAAAUAUGAUUUAAAAUCUCCCUGUUGUUGAAUAUAAACUUCAGCGUUUCCAAUAGAGGAAUGUACACAAAUUUGUCUGUCACAGGAUCCUGAUUGUAUGUGCCAGUGGUUCGAUUCCUUCUGGUGUCAUACCUCACCCCUAGAGCGACCUCAACAGGUUCUACAAGACCCCAUUUCUCACUGAAAUGUUUUUUUCCAUUUUGUCUCAGUGUUCAGUUUGCUAAAUGGAUUGUCAAGGCUUUCGAAAUAAUCAUCAACUUUUGUUCUAAUGUCCUCAACAUUGGGGAGUAAUUUUACAACAUCAUCUUUAACAUUUGAAUGCAGUUCCUCUACUAGCUCCUCCAUAUUUUCAACAACAGUCGUUAUGACAUUAGUAGCCAUACCAGAGCUUUGGAGUUUUGCAAUAAGGGAUGCACACAUUUCUUGGGUAUGUUGUUGCCUAGUCUCAUUACAGCUUUGAGAAUUCACUGGUUGCUCUGAAAUUAAAGCUGACAGUCUUUAAAACAAUAGGUAUCGCAGCCACCACCCUUAGCAGGAGUUACCUCCUGUUCCUUAUGUGUGGUGGCUAGCAUAGAAGUCGCUCCCUCCUAACAUAACACAACUGGUGUCAGAGCUGUAUGCUUCAGACCUCGAGGCUUCACCGGGUUUUCAAAUGGGCACCCCCCGUUUUCCUGGUGUUUCGUCAACUAGCCCACGACACCACGGUGGGGCUUGACGACAGCACCAGCGUCCUGGAGCUGUCCCCUCAGCCACACAGGUCUUCCCCACUCAGCUCUGACACCCCUCUCUGCCAGCCUGGUUCAGCCACUGAUCGUUCCUCUUUAGCCACAGCCAUCUGGAUGCUGACUCUGCCUGCUUUGAGAUGUUGUUCACCAGGUUCUUACGGGUUGCCCCUGUGAGGCCGAGCAUCCCCAGUGUUCUCCAAAGUGACUGUCCAGGGAAGCCCCUGCAGCCAACCUCGACUGGUAGAUUCCAGGCUCUCCACCCCCUCUGCUGGCUCUCGGAAAUGAGAUCCUGGUAUUUCCCCAGCUUACGCUCGUGUGCCUCCUCGAUCCUUUCCUCCCAGGGUACCGUUAACUCAAUUAGGGCCACCUGCUUUGUUAUCUGAGACCAGAGCACGAUAUCCGGUCGGAGGCUGGUGACGGCGAUCUCCUCUGGGAAUUUGAGUUUCCUUCCCAGGUCAACUCUCAUCUCCCAGUCCUUUGCCGUACCAAGGAUCCCUGCACAUCUGUCCUCCUUGCCUGCCUUCUCGCCAGGCCUGAGAAAACUGAUGAAGCGGGGGCCUUUGUCUUGGGCCUUUGUUCCUUUUCGCUUCCUCUCCUUUUCCAGACCAUCGGCGAGUUGCGCCAGCACCUGAUCAUGGCGCCACCUGAACCUCCCCUCAGUCAGGCCUGCUCGGCAGGACGACAGGAUGUGCUCCAGGUUUGCUGGUCUCUUGCACUGCGCACAGAAGGGAUCCUCUGACAAUCUCCAUCUUUGGAGGUUUGUUGGUGUUGGGAGUACAUCGUAGACAGAGCUCAGGAGGAACUUUAUCCGGUGCCCCUCCAUACUCCAGAUGUCCUUCCAACCGAGCGAUCUUCCCCGGACACCGUCCCACCGGGUCCAUCUGCCCUGCUGUCUCAUGGCUACUGCCUUGGCUUGUCUAUCCUCUUCCUCCACUGCCCGAAUCUCCUUCUGCACCAUCCCUCUCCGUUCCUUCACCUUUGCCUCCUUCCAGCUUGCUCGGGUGAUGACACCGAGACCCAGCCUCCCCUGGGUCACCGUGCCCACGACGUCUGCAUGUUGUAGGCACUCCUCCGCUUCCCUCAGGGCUCCGCUGGCCUGCCAUUUCCGUCCUGUCUUGACCGUGAUGUUUGCCUGCCGCACAGCCUGAUCGUUGCUGUCUCGCAACAUCAUGGCCAACCGGAUUUUAGCUGUCUUGAACUCCUCCACAACUGAUGUGAUUGGCAACUGCAGCU